rnacentral:rRNA from 1 species
UACAGAGGUGGCAAGCGUUGUUCGGAAUUACUGGGCGUAAAGGGCGCGUAGGCGGCCUUCUAAGUCAGACGUGAAAUCCCCAGGCUUAACUUGGGAACUGCGUCUGAUACUGGGAGGCUUGAGUGCGGGAGAGGGAUGUGGAAUUCCAGGUGUAGCGGUGAAAUGCGUAGAUAUCUGGAGGAACACCGGUGGCGAAGGCGGCAUCCUGGACCGAGAUUGACGCUGAGGCGCGAAAGCUAGGGGAGCAAACGGG